rnacentral:rRNA from 1 species
GGGUGACUGCGUACCUUUUGUAUAAUGGGUCAGCGACUUAUAUUCUGUAGCAAGGUUAACCGAAUAGGGGAGCCGUAGGGAAACCGAGUCUUAACUGGGCGAAUGAGUUGCAGGGUAUAGACCCGAAACCCGGUGAUCUAGCCAUGGGCAGGUUGAAGGUUGGGUAACACUAACUGGAGGACCGAACCGACUAAUGUUGAAAAAUUAGCGGAUGACUUGUGGCUGGGGGUGAAAGGCCAAUCAAACCGGGAGAUAGCUGGUUCUCCCCGAAAGCUAUUUAGGUAGCGCCUCGUGAACUCAUCUUCGGGGGUAGAGCACUGUUUCGGCUAGGGGGUCAUCCCGACUUACCAACCCGAUGCAAACUACGAAUACCGAAGAAUGUUAUCACGGGAGACACACGGCGGGUGCUAACGUUCGUCGUGAAGAGGGAAACAACCCAGACCGCCAGCUAAGGUCCCAAAGUCAUGGUUAAGUGGGAAACGAAGUGGGAAGGCUCAGACAGCCAGGAUGUUGGCUUAGAAGCAGCCAUCAUUUAAAGAAAGCGUAAUAGCUCACUGGUCGAGUCGGCCUGCGCGGAAGAUGUAACGGGGCUAAACCAUGCACCGAAGCUGCGGCAGCGACAU